rnacentral:rRNA from 1 species
CACGUAGGCGGGCCGUCUUGCGUCGCGUGAAAUCCCUCGGCUCAACCGAGGAAUGGCAUGGCGAACGGGCGGUCUUGAGGCAGGUAGAGGUGUGGGGAACUCUUGGUGGAGCGGUGGAAUGCGUAGAUAUCAAGAGGAACGCCGGAGACGAAGGUGCCGCACUGGGCCUGUCCUGACGCUGAGGUGCGAAAGCCAGGGGAGCAAACGGGAUUAGAUACCCCGGUAGUCCUGGCCCUAAACGAUGACCACCAGGUGUGGGAGGUAUCGACCCCUUCCGUGCCGGAGGAAACCCACUGAGUGGUCCGCCUGGGGAGUACGGUCGCAAGAUUAAA